rnacentral:rRNA from 1 species
UACGGAGGGUGCAAGCGUUGUUCGGAAUCACUGGGCGUAAAGCGCGUGUAGGCGGCCUCCUAAGUCUGAUGUGAAAGCCCGGGGCUCACCCCCCGGAAGUGCAUUGGAUACUGGGAGGCUGGAGUACCGGAGAGGAGGGUGGAAUUCCUGGUGUAGCGGUGAAAAUGCGUAGAUAUCAGGAGGAACACCGUGGCGAAGGCGGCCCUCUGGACGGAUACUGACGCUGAGACGCGACA